GAAGAAAAUGGCUGAGAACCAGCAGCUGAAGAAAGUUUCUAAAGACUCAGCAGGGGUUAGAGUUAGAAGGCUCUGCCACUAACAUCAAUAACAGGAUCUGUGACAACACUUGGAGAACAUUUCCACCGUGCUCGCCAAGAAGGAUUCUGAACAUUCAGAGGCUGAAGCUCCGACUGAAAGAGAGCUAUGGCAAGAAAAUGUGAAUGAAGUCACAAAUGCCACCAAGGAAAAGCAGAACAGAAAAAUAACUUGAGUAUUCAAGAUGGGCAGACUAGUUCAAAGACUCAUCAAGCCUUGUGAAGGGGUGACUCCGAGGCAUGGCAGCACAUGCCUGUUGCCCCACCACGCAGGCAGGUGGUGAUGAAUUCUACACUAACCUUGGCUACACAGUGAGACACUGCCCCCAAAACAGAAACAAAAAGCAAAAAGUUUCUCAGUGAACCUCAGAAAAGGUUCCUAAAGUAACAAAAGAAUCAAAAUAUGCCCUAACUCACCCCAAAUGCCAAGAGCCUUGCUAUUUUUAGUAAGUACCUCCAUAAAAUGCACUGUUCCCCGCCCCCCCCCCCGAAAACCAAGGCCAGAGAAGUUGCUAAGUGUCAAUCCCACCACACCACAUUUCUUACAUCUGCCCUGUCCUCUCCACUCAGCACCAGUGUUAACAAAGUGUGGCCAAUAUUUUCAUGACAUUUUUCUCUCCUUUGAUUCUUUGUUCAUUUGCUUUUAUUUCAUUUUUGAGACAGGCUCAGAUGCUGCCCAAGCCAACCAGAAUUUACCAAGUUCCAAGAAUGACCUUAAAUUCCAAAUCCUUCUGCCCCCAUCAUCUGAGUGCUGGGUUACAGUUGUGUAUCACCACACCUGCCUCUCACCUGGGUCUUUAAAACAAAAGACAGAAGAAGGAAAGGAAGGAAGGAAAAGAAAGAAAGAGAGAGAGAGAGAGAGAGAGAAAGAAAGAAAGAAAGAAAGAAAGAAAAGAGAGAAAGGAAGAGGGAGGGAAGGAAGGAAGAUGAGAGAGAGAGAGAGAGAGAGAGAGAGAGAGAGAGAGAGGAGAGAGAGAGAGAGAGAGAGAGAUCUUCAUUAACCAUAAAAGCCAGGGAUCAAGUAAAGCCUGGCAGCAUAAAUAACAUAAAUUCAAAAUAGUUGGCAUUUCAUUCAGUCCACAAAAGAGCCUUGGCGUAACACUGAUAAUUUUACAUUUGAAGUUCUCAGGUGUAUCCAUUUCUAAGUACAGAGGUGAUCUGUGGUGUUGGCUGACAAGUUAUUCCUAUCUAUCUUCAGUGGAAAAAUCAAGGUUUCACACCAAAAUGACAGCAUAAAGUCCCACACGUGUGGCUUCUAAGCUUAAAAAGCCUAAGAUGAAACUUCCCCUGAUCCUAUCAUCAAAAUAAACACUUACUAUAUUACCAAAUAUUACACAUCUAAGAUCCAUCACUUCUGCUUUAAAUGCCUUGCCCUUUUACUGGGGUACUUUAUUUGACAUGUGUCUAUGGUACAAAGACAAAUUCCCGUCGGCUUGAUAAGGUGCCAGAGCUCGCUUAGAGGUUAAGAAGGAGCCGUCCAACUGUUUUUCUUCCACUGAGGGUUACAUGAGAGAAUCGGUAGCGCUUGUUGAAAGAACUUUACCUGUGGAUAAUAGCCCUUAUCUCACCGCUAUCUAUCAUGCUAUCAAUUUCUUUAUUACAGGAGUUUACCUUCGGGCAGCUCAUACACCAGCUGUCAAUCUGUCCUCACCCUGAGACAGCAAGCCAAGCUCAGGUGUGUAGCGGCUCCACCAGAAAAGAGUAUUGGCCUUCUUUCCCCCAGUGAACAGCUGUAGCCAAAAUGCAGCCCCUGGCACUCCAGCUGUACUGUCACAAGGCGGGGCUAGGAAGGCUCUAAUUCUUGCCUCCCAGAUCACAUACUUUACAACUGAAGAGCAUCUCAGUUUUGCUCUUUAUCCUAUUUUAACCUUUGCCAACUCCUGGUCCUUCACUAAAGCAUUUAAAACAGCAACUGUAAAAAGCCUUGACACUUCAAAUGUCCAUCAGCAGAGACCUGCUUGAAUAGAAUGACAUUCCAUAAAACCAACUACUAGGCACUGAGAAAGGGAAAAAGAAAAGGGGUGGGGGAGGGGAUGGAGAGGGAGGGACAUGGAAAUGCUUUUAAGUAACAAUGGGGAAUGAUUUUGAAGAUAUAUUGGGGGGAAUGGGAGAUGUGCAAAAUGGAGCAGUAUCUUUUGUGUUUGAAAAGGUAGAAAAGCAUAAUUACUUCCAUACUCAUGUAGAGACUCUGAAGAUGACACUCGGAUCCACUAACAGGAGAACUGUGCAUGAAACCAGCAAGAUGACAGGCAUGCGAAAGAGGAGUCUCAUGACUGCCUUUCUCAUAUGUUUUAUUUUUGAACUGUAUAAAUAUGUAUAACCUAUUCAGAGAAAGGAAAAACGGUAGGAUGCUAAAAGAAUGGAAACAUAGACCAGAAAGUCUGGCCAUGGGCAAUGUAGUUUGAAAGAAUAUCUGUCAAUAAUUCAAACAAUGAAAUUUUAGUUUUUAAAAUUUUUUUUAGAUUUAUUUUAUGUGAACGAAUGCUUGCCUGCAUGCUUGUACGUGCAUCAUGUGCAUGCUUGAUGCCCAAGGAAGUCAGGAGAGGGUGGAUCCUCUAGAACUGGAUGGUUACAAAUGAUUGUGAACCACUGUGUGGGUUCCCAGGUUCUCUGCAAGGUCAACAAGUGACCUCCACUGCUGAGCAAAGGUGAGUAGAGCUUCCAGCUCUACCAACCCCUGGCUUUGCCAGGCCUGUGUGCAGUAUUUGACCACCCAGUGCCUGCUCCAUUAUCUGUGCAAGAGUUGGAAGUAAGCUUGAGAAAGAAGGGUCAGGGACACCGCAGGAAGAGCUUCAGAGUCAACUAACCUGGGUGCGUGGGGGAAGCCCACAGAGACUGGAUGCCAACCAAAGAGUCUGCAGGGGCUGGACCUGGGCGCCCUACACGUUUGUAGCAGAUGUGCAGCUUGGUCUUCAUGUGGGCUCCCUAACAAUCGCGCCAGGGACUAUCUCAGUCUCUGUUCCCUGCCUUUGGAUCCCCUUUCCCUAGAUGGACUGCCUGGUCAGGCCUCAGUGGGAGAGGAUGUACUUAGAUGGGUUGGUACCCAUGGGGGGCUUCCCUUCUCUGAGGAGAAGAGGAGAGGGUAAUGGAGGAG